rnacentral:rRNA from 1 species
GAUGAACGCUGGCGGCGUGCUUAACACAUGCAAGUCGAACGGAAAGGCCAUGCUUUUGUGGGGUGCACGAGUGGCGAACGGGUGUGUAAAACGCGUGUAACCUGCCCCUGACUUUGGGAUAACAUCAGGAAACAGGGGCUAAUAUCGGAGAGGAGCUACUGAUGCAUGGUGGGGGUUGGAAAGAUUCGGCGGUUGGGGAUGGAAUCGCGGCUUAUCAGCUUGUUGGUGGAGUAGUGGCUUACGAAGGCUUUGACGGGUAGGCGGCCUGGGAGGGGGACCAGCGUCCAGGGUACUGAGAGACGGACCAGACGCGUACCGGAGGCAGCAGGGGAGAAUAUUGCGCAGUGGGCGGGAGCGUGAGACGGCGACGCCGCGAGCGUAAUGACGUCCUACUAGUUAUGAACCGCUGUCUACGGUAAUGAAGCGGUAGUGACGGUAAUUAAUAAGAAAGCACCGGCUAACUACGUG